rnacentral:lncRNA from 1 species
GCGGAGAGAAUAUUACAAAAUACCUUCUUAAGGGUGCGGGGGUGCGGGCGUGGGGUGGGUGGGGAGAAUAUUACAAAGCACCUUCUCAAGGGUGGGGAAGGAACAAAUCACAAUGGUGGAAUGUCAUCAGUUAAGGCAGGAACUGGCUAUUUUCACUUCUUUUGUGGAUCUUCAGUUGCUUCAGGCCAUCUGGGUGUAUA